rnacentral:rRNA from 1 species
GGGCCCGCACAAGCGGUGGAGCAUGUGGUUUAAUUCGAAGCAACGCGAAGAACCUUACCAGGUCUUGACAUCCCGCCGACCGCAUAGGAGACUAGGCCUUCCCUUCGGGGACGGCGGUGACAGGUGGUGCAUGGUUGUCGUCAGCUCGUGUCGUGAGAUGUUGGGUUAAGUCCCGCAACGAGCGCAACCCUUGAUCUUAGUUGCCAGCAUUCAGUUGGGCACUCUAAGGUGACUGCCGGUGACAAACCGGAGGAAGGUGGGGAUGACGUCAAAUCAUCAUGCCCCUUAUGACCUGGGCUACACACGUGCUACAAUGGAUGGUACAAAGGGCUGCGAACCCGCGAGGGGGAGCCAAUCCCAUAAAACCAUUCUCAGUUCGGAUUGUAGGCUGCAACUCGCCUACAUGAAGCUGGAAUCGCUAGUAAUCGUGGAUCAGCAUGC